CAGUCGCCGCGGUAAGACAGAGGAUGCAAGCGUUAUCCGGAAUGAUUGGGCGUAAAGCGUCUGUAGGUGGCUUUUCAAGUCCGCCGUCAAAUCCCAGGGCUCAACCCUGGACAGGCGGUGGAAACUACCAAGCUGGAGUACGGUAGGGGCAGAGGGAAUUUCCAGUGGAGCGGUGAAAUGCGUUGAGAUCGAAAAGAACACCAACGGCGAAAGCACUCUGCUGGGCCGACACUGACACUGAGAGACGAAAGCUAGGGGAGCAAAUGGGAUUAGAUACCCCGGUAGUCCCUGUCUCUUAUAA
rnacentral:rRNA from 1 species